AUUGAACGCUGGCGGAAUGCUUUACACAUGCAAGUCGAGCGGCAGCGCGGGGCAACCUGGCGGCGAGCGGCGAACGGGUGAGUAAUGUAUCGGAACGUAUCCUUAAGUGGGGGACAACUAGUCGAAAGACUAGCUAAUACCGCAUACGAUCGAGAGAUGAAAGUGGGGGACCGCAAGGCCUCACGCUUUUGGAGCGGCCGAUAUCCGAUUAGCUUGUUGGUGAGGUAAAGGCUUACCAAGGCUAUGAUCGGUAGCUGGUCUGAGAGGAUGAUCAGCCACACUGGGACUGAGACACGGCCCAGACUCCUACGGGAGGCAGCAGUGGGGAAUUUUGGGACAAUGGGGGGCAACCCGUGAUCCAGCCAUUCCGCGUGAGUGAAGAAGGCCUUCGGGUU
rnacentral:rRNA from 1 species